GACGUAGGGUCCGAGCGUUGUCCGGAGUUACUGGGCGUAAAGGGCGCGUAGGCGGUCUUCUGCGUCACACGUGAAAGCCCCUGGCUCAACCAGGGAGGGUCGUGUGAAACGGGGGGACGUGGAGGCAGCGAGAGGCUGGUGGAAUUCCCGGAGUAGUGGUGAAAUGCGUAGAGAUCGGGAGGAAACACCGGGUGGCGAAGGGCGGCCAGCUGGCGCUGACCUGACGCUGAGGCGGCGAAAGGCAUGGGGGAGCGAACGGG
rnacentral:rRNA from 1 species